rnacentral:rRNA from 1 species
UGCAGUCGAGCGAACAGAUAAGGAGCUUGCUCCUUUGACGUUAGCGGCGGACGGGUGAGUAACACGUGGGUAACCUACCUAUAAGACUGGGAUAACUUCGGGAAACCGGAGCUAAUACCGGAUAACAUUUGGAACCGCAUGGUUCUAAAGUGAAAGAUGGUUUUGCUAUCACUUAUAGAUGGACCCGCGCCGUAUUAGCUAGUUGGUAAGGUAACGGCUUACCAAGGCGACGAUACGUAGCCGACCUGAGAGGGUGAUCGGCCACACUGGAACUGAGACACGGUCCAGACUCCUACGGGAGGCAGCAGUAGGGAAUCUUCCGCAAUGGGCGAAAGCCUGACGGAGCAACGCCGCGUGAGUGAUGAAGGGUUUCGGCUCGUAAAACUCUGUUAUUAGGGAAGAACAAAUGUGUAAGUAACUGUGCACGUCUUGACGGUACCUAAUCAGAAAGCCACGGCUAACUACGUGCCAGCAGCCGCGGUAAUACGUAGGUGGCAAGCGUUAUCCGGAAUUAUUGGGCGUAAAGCGCGCGUAGGCGGUUUCUUAAGUCUGAUGUGAAAGCCCACGGCUCAACCGUGGAGGGUCAUUGGAAACUGGGAAACUUGAGUGCAGAAGAGGAAAGUGGAAUUCCAUGUGUAGCGGUGAAAUGCGCAGAGAUAUGGAGGAACACCAGUGGCGAAGGCGACUUUCUGGUCUGUAACUGACGCUGAUGUGCGAAAGCGUGGGGAUCAAACAGGAUUAGAUACCCUGGUAGUCCACGCCGUAAACGAUGAGUGCUAAGUGUUAGGGGGUUUCCGCCCCUUAGUGCUGCAGCUAACGCAUUAAGCACUCCGCCUGGGGAGUACGACCGCAAGGUUGAAACUCAAAGGAAUUGACGGGGACCCGCACAAGCGGUGGAGCAUGUGGUUUAAUUCGAAGCAACGCGAAGAACCUUACCAAAUCUUGACAUCCUUUGAAAACUCUAGAGAUAGAGCCUUCCCCUUCGGGGGACAAAGUGACAGGUGGUGCAUGGUUGUCGUCAGCUCGUGUCGUGAGAUGUUGGGUUAAGUCCCGCAACGAGCGCAACCCUUAAGCUUAGUUGCCAUCAUUAAGUUGGGCACUCUAGGUUGACUGCCGGUGACAAACCGGAGGAAGGUGGGGAUGACGUCAAAUCAUCAUGCCCCUUAUGAUUUGGGCUACACACGUGCUACAAUGGACAAUACAAAGGGCAGCUAAACCGCGAGGUCAUGCAAAUCCCAUAAAGUUGUUCUCAGUUCGGAUUGUAGUCUGCAACUCGACUACAUGAAGCUGGAAUCGCUAGUAAUCGUAGAUCAGCA